rnacentral:rRNA from 1 species
CCCUUAGAUGUUCUGGGCUGCACGCGCGCUACACUGAUGCAUCCAGCGAGUUGUACCCUUGCUUGGUAAAGUUUGGUAAUCUGAGGCUAAUGUGCAUCGUGAUGGGAAUAGAGUUUUGCAACUAUUAGUCUUGAACGAGGAAUUCCUCGUAAGCACGAGUCAUCAGCUUGUGCUGAUUACGUCCCUGCCCUUUGUACACACCGCCCGUCGCUACUACCGAUUGAACGUUUUAGUGAGGUACUCGGACUGAGCCUCAGAAGAUUCACGUCUUUUGUGCUGCUCGGGAAGAUUCCCAAACUUGAGCGUUUAGAGGAAGUAAAAGUCGUAACA